UACGUAGGUGGCAAGCGUUGUCCGGAUUUACUGGGCGUAAAGAGCGCGCAGGCGGUCGUCCAAGUCGCGUCGUGAAAGCCCCCGGCUCAACUGGGGAGGGUCACGCGAUACUGGUCGACUCGAAGGCAGGAGAGGGUAGUGGAAUUCCCGGUGUAGCGGUGAAAUGCGCAGAUAUCAGGAGGAACACCGAUGGCGAAGGCAGGUCUCUGGGCCGACUACUGACGCUGAGAAGCGAAAGCAUGGGGGAGCGAACAGG
rnacentral:rRNA from 1 species